rnacentral:lncRNA from 1 species
CUUGUGUGAGCUUAACGUCCGGUUACAGUUGUGAGGCUCACAUCGUUGAUGGAGACCUUUUGACUGCUCUGGCCAGAAGAUUCAGCCUCAAAAACUCUUCUUGUUGCUAUAAAUGCAGGCUGCUUCGGCUCAGGAAGGUUAGUGUUCUCGGUAGUUAGCAUCCUAAUCAUGGUUGACACAUUUGGUCUAUCGCUUGCAACUUCUUGCACACACAACAAACCAAUCUGAAUACACUUUGUAAACUCUUUCUCAAAACACUCAUCAAAGACAGUUGGAUCUGCUAGAGAAGCAGCCUCACCAUCAUUCCAUAGCUUCCACGCCUUUAAAAAUAUCAAAUUUACAAAAGUUUCAAAGCUUAAGCCUUUAUGUACUACACACUGAUUGGUAAACUUACAUAAGCUAAAAGGUUUAGAUUGUUGUCUUCCUUGUGGGAGUUUUUCUUCCCACUUAUGAUCUCUAGAAAUAUAACUCCCAAGCUGAAUACAUCUGAUUUUUCUGAAAAGAAACCUUCCAUUGCAUAUUCAGGUGACAUAUACCCGCUGCAAAAAAAAAACAAAAUUUUCAUUCAAGCGGUUAAGGUAACAAUUCUUGUUGGGAAUGGAUACUUACUAUGUCCCAACAACCCUUGUUGUGUUAGCUUCAUCUUCAUUUGCUCGAAAAACUCUUGCAAGUCCGAAGUCAGAUAUCUUUGGAUUUAGGUUCUCAUCUAGCAAAAUGUUGCUGGCUUUUAGAUCUCUGUGUAUGAUCUUUAGUCUUGAAUCUCUGUGAAGGUACAAAAGACCUCUGCAAAUCCCUUCCAUUAUGUUGAACCGAGUCUUCCAAUCAAGAAUAUUUUGCUUCAUUGGGUCUGAGAGAAGCUAACCAAAGCAUUAACUUCUUCUUCAAGUGAAAAACAGAGUUAAGAAACAGAGGAGAUAAGUAUACCAAAUAGAUAAGCAUCCAAGCUUUUCUUUGGCAUGUACUCAUAUACUAACAACCUUUCUUCACCUUCAAUGCAACAACCAAGUAACUUCACUAGAUUCCUAUGUUGCAACUUUGAAAUCACAACCACUUCAUUCAAUAGUUCCUCAAGUCCUUGACCUGAUGCCCUAGAGAGCCUCUUCACUGCAACUUCUUGCCCAUUUGGCAAUAUUCCCUGAAGAAAAAGUUACCAGUCACUUAACCUUUUAUGAUAUUAUCAUAAGGAUUCUUGUUUAGUGCCUUUACCUUGUAAACAGGACCAAAUCCGCCUUGUCCAAGCUUGUUUCUGAGUGAGAAGUUAUCGGUUGAUGUAGCCAACACUUCAAACUCAAAAAGAGGAAGAUCUUUGAGCUUGACUUGGUUAGAAGCAGACUCGUUACCACUUGUAAGUUCUUCCAUUCUUUGAAACAAUAGCUCUGCACUUCUAUCUCCCUCUGGUGCUGGUGCUGCAAUGCAAAGGCAAUGAUUAUUAGAGGCAAAGUCUCCCACAUCGGUAGUUGGAAGGGAUCCUUAAUAAUAUAUAAGAUAGAUGGGUCAAUCCACUUAUCACCAAUUAGUUUUAGUUGUAAGCUCAUCUAACUUAACAAUGAUAAAUGAAACAAACAAUCUGAAGCUAUCUUUAUGGAGUAAACAAAACUCUAACCUGGAAGCCGUUUAAAUUUCCUGCAUGCCAAAAGAACACAGACGGCUGCAACAAAUCGAUCGUCCAAACUCUCUUAGAAGUACUCCAACUUCUAAAAUAUAUAGCUCCAUUAGGAUCCAAGUUCAUGUGAUACAUGAAAGAAUCAUUAGCAAAUGACAUUGAGAAUGUUCCUUGGUUAUCAUUGUUAAGGUUAAACCCAUCAAGAAACAGGAGAGAUAUCGAAUCCGGUAUAUCGAUGAAAAUCUGACCGUUCCACGGUCCGCUACGCCAGACUGGGACAUCGUUCUUCCAGAUCAGAAGCUCAGGAAACGUGAAAGGAGCAAGACCGGCUGUAUAGCUCCCUGGUGAAGGAUCUACAUAGCUUCUCCAUGAAGUAAGCUUUAGAUUCUCUCCGGUUCUCUUGUUGGUUCCAAGAGUCAUUCUUGGUAAGAAAGAGUUGUAAGGAUGCUUGAAACUCUCCCAGAGAGUCUCAACGUUGUUUCUGUUGUCUUGCAGCCUAAGAUUCCCAUUAUCCAUUAGCUGAACCCAAGUAACAUUUGGAGCCACUGGUACUGUUCACAUAUAGCAAAGCAACCCAAAACAGAACACGAUGAUAAAGUUCUAGUUCUCUCUGUCAAGACAGAAACAUGUGUCGGUUUUUGUUUUUCUGCUUUUAUUCAAAUUCAUUUUCUUCAUCCAGGUCCAGUACUAGGAUCUAUAAAUAAAAUCAACACAGCUCACUUUCAGAAAACGUGUUUUUAACUAAGGUAAAUAAUACCAAAUCUGUAGUUAGUGAAUCUGAACAUAACUUCUCUGAAAUACAUCUCUUAUUCUUUAAUCUAACAAUUAAACAUGCGCAAGAUAACAAAAUUUUUGGGAACAUAGGAGUUUCAUAUAAAUAUAUUAAAUAAACAUACAGAAUUGCUUGUGUGAGCUUAACGUCCGGUUACAGUUGUGAGGCUCACAUCGUUGAUGGAGACCUUUUGACUGCUCUGGCCAGAAGAUUCAGCCUCAAAAACUCUUCUUGUUGCUAUAAAUGCAGGCUGCUUCGGCUCAGGAAGGUUAGUGUUCUCGGUAGUUAGCAUCCUAAUCAUGGUUGACACAUUUGGUCUAUCGCUUGCAACUUCUUGCACACACAACAAACCAAUCUGAAUACACUUUGUAAACUCUUUCUCAAAACACUCAUCAAAGACAGUUGGAUCUGCUAGAG